UGUGUCAGCCGCCGCGGUAAUUCCAGCUCCAAUAGCGUAUAUUAAAAUUGUUGCCGUUAAAAAGCUCGUAGUCGAACUUCGGGCUCUGUCAGCCGGUCCGCCUUCUUGGUGUGUACUUGUUUGACGGAGCCUUACCUCCUGGUGAACGGCGAUGUCCUUUACUGGGUGUCGUCGCAAACCAGGACUUUUACUUUGAAAAAAUUAGAGUGUUCAAAGCAGGCCUUUGCCCGAAUACAUUAGCAUGGAAUAAUAAAAUAGGACGCGCGUUCCCAUUUUGUUGGUUUCUGAGAUCGCCGUAAUGAUUAAUAGGGAUAGUUGGGGGCAUUUGUAUUCCGUCGUCAGAGGUGAAAUUCUUGGAUUGCCGGAAGACAAACUACUGCGAAAGCAUUUGCCAAGGAUGUUUUCAUUGAUCAAGAACGAAGGAAGGGGGAUCGAAAACGAUUAGAAACC
rnacentral:rRNA from 1 species